AUUGAACGCUGGCGGCAUGCUUUACACAUGCAAGUCGAACGGUAACAGGGAGCUUGCUCCGCUGACGAGUGGCGAACGGGUGAGUAAUAUAUCGGAACGUACCCAAGAGUGGGGGAUAACGUAGCGAAAGUUACGCUAAUACCGCAUACGAUCUAAGGAUGAAAGCAGGGGAUCUUCGGACCUUGUGCUCCUGGAGCGGCCGAUAUCUGAUUAGCUAGUUGGUGAGGUAAAGGCUCACCAAGGCGACGAUCAGUAGCUGGUCUGAGAGGACGACCAGCCACACUGGACAUGAGACACGGUCCAGACUCAUACGGGAGGCAGCAGUGGGGAAUUUUGGACAAUGGGCGCAAGCCUGAUCCAGCAAUGCCGCGUGAGUGAAGAAGGCCUUCGGGUUGUAAAGCUCUUUUGUCAGGGAAGAAACGGGAGUGGCUAAUAUCCAUUCCUAAUGACGGUACCUGAAGAAUAAGCACCGGCUAACUACGUGCCAGCCGCCGCGGUAA
rnacentral:rRNA from 1 species